AUCCUUCUGAAUCGGCGCCGAGAUUUCGUUAGACAUCAGACCUUCAGUACUGAUGAGAUUCUCACGAUAAGUGGAGCG
rnacentral:pre_miRNA from 1 species